rnacentral:hammerhead_ribozyme from 1 species
ACCCGGCUGACAAGUCCCAAAAUGGGACGAAACACGCGUCCUGGUU